rnacentral:rRNA from 1 species
UACGUAGGUGGCAAGCGUUGUCCGGAUUUACUGGGCGUAAAGAGCGCGCAGGCGGUCGUUCAAGUCGCGUGUGAAAGCCCCCGGCUCAACUGGGGAGGGUCACGCGAUACUGAUCGACUCGAAGGCAGGAGAGGGAAGUGGAAUUCCCGGUGUAGUGGUGAAAUGCGUAGAUAUCGGGAGGAACACCAGUGGCGAAGGCGACUUCCUGGCCUGUUAUUGACGCUGAGGCGCGAAAGCUAGGGGAGCAAACGGG